GAACAAGAAAUAGCCCAACGCUGAAUCCUAUAGUUUUUGACAACUAUUAGGAACUGUAGCGUAUAGGUGCAACUGUUCAACGGAUUUGCAUACUCCAAGUUCUCUUGACUGAGGCUACAGUCCAGAGAAGGUGCUAGACCUGUCGGAGUAGUAAAACUGUUUGAUACUGGUUGUUCCUUUGAGUCGAGUUGUUUGAAAUUGCAGCUCAAAGAAGGUGGUAAACCUCAUCUAAGGCUAAAUAUGACCACGAGACCGAUAGCGAACAAGUACCGUGAGGGAAAGUUGCAAAGAACUUUGAAGAGAGAGUUCAAGAGGGCGUGAAACCGCUUAGAUGGAAGCGGAUAGAGUCAACAAAACACAAUAGUAAUCAUCCAGUUAAAUGUUGAACGUUUUGGCCGUUUGCGCUUACAGUCUUCAUUGUUGCACUUCGGUGUUGACAAGGGAUAGUUUGUGUUCGGCUGAUGUGUACGACGUUUUCGACUGGUGCUCUUGCUGUUGUUAUGCAUUGAGGAACUUGCAAUGUGUACGGAAAACUUAGCAUAAGAGGCCUAUGUUCUGAUAGAGUGUAGAAACCUUAUGUUCUGAGAUAUGUCCGCUAUCCUUUGUAAGUUAUGCAUCAACUGCGUCUGCUUGAUAGCGUAAUACAAUUGCUUUGUAGUGAAUGUAGAGUACUAUGGAUUUGUCGCUUGCCGGCUUGUCCUAUAUUUUAUGUUUACUUCUAUUGCUGGUUGUGAAUUACUGGUAGACGUUGGUUCCACAAUGUAUACAAAAAGUUGAUCACCUAUCCGACCCGUCUUGAAACACGGACCAAGGAGUUUAGCAUAUAUGCGAGUCAUUGGGUGUUGAAAACCUAAAGGCGUAAUGAAAAUAAAUAUAUGGGAUCUGUAUACUGUAGAGAUGUAUACAGCGCACCAUAGUCCUGUUAAUAUUGCUUGCAAUUUAGCGGAGAUAGAGCAUAUAUGCUGAGACCCGAAAGAUGGUGAACUAUGCUUGAGCAGGAUGAAGCCAGAGGAAACUCUGGUGGAAGUCCGAAGUGGUUCUGACGUGCA
rnacentral:rRNA from 1 species